rnacentral:lncRNA from 10 species
CACUAAAUCAGCAAAACCUUGCCGUCACCUAAUACAAUGGCAUCUUCUGAUCUAAGAACACCUUCUCUUCUCUAACAAGAAAUAACAGGACAAAUAGAGAAUAAAAACAGCAGGCAAAUAAAUAAGGGCCAUCUCAUAGAUGAGCUGAUAACUGGAUAAAAUACAAGUAAAAUGUUAACUAUAGAUAUAGGUGGUGAGUAUAAGAAUUCACUGGAUAACUACUGGAACUUUUUUGCAUGUUUGAAAAUUUUCAUAAUGUCAGAAGCAUCGCAACAAAUUCAACCAUAGGCACCAAAGCAAGUCACAUUUCUCAUUAAAUGUUUCAUAAAGAGUCAGAUACUCUCCAGGCCAUUUGUUACAACUCCCUAUAUAAAUGCAAUUCUUCAUUCUCAAGACCUUAUUUGUGUUGUUUCCCCACUGGACUCUUCCCAAAUGCAAACCAGGCCCAGUUCAGGUUCUAACACCUUCUAUUUAAAAAAAGAAAAAGAAAAAUCCUUCUUCUCUCUGCUUAAGUGCCAUUGCAUUUCACUGUGUCGUACUAUCUAAAAUACAGAUCUGACAAUUUUUUAGGUGUUAUACUAGUUAGACUGGGUGUUGUUUUUAAUUAUAAGAAAUACUUUCUACGCCAGGCACAGUGGCUCAUGCCUGUAAUCCCAGCACUUUGGGAGGCUGAGGCGGGUGGAUCACUUGAGGUCAGGAGUUUGAGACCAGCCUGGCCAACAUGGUGAAACCCCAUCUCUACUACACAAAUAAACAAACAAACAAAAAACACACACAGAUUAGCUGGGCAUGGUGGCGCAUGCCUGUAGUCCCAGUUGCCUGGGAGGCUGAGGUUGCAGUGAGCCAAGAUUAGGCUAUUGGACUCCAGCCUAGGCAACAGAGUGAGAUCCUGUCUCAGAAACAAAAACAAAAGAACAAACAAACAUUAGCCAGGCAUGGUGGCAGGCACCUGUAAUGCCAGCUACUCAGGAGGCUGAGGCAGAAGAAUCACUUGAACCUGGGAGGUGGAGGUUGCAGUGAGCUGAGAUUGUGCCACUGCAUGCCAGCCUGGGCGACAGAGUAAUACUUUGUCUGAAAAAAUAAAAAUAAAAUAAAACAUAAAAAAGCUAUCUUUUAGAUACGUAUUAAGAUAUUAUACAUGAAGUGAUAUGAUAGCUGGAACGUGCUUUAAAAUAACUCAAGGGGUUGGGUACAAAUGAAACGAGACUGAUCAUAACUGUGAGAGCUAAGCCCAGAGUACAUGACCUAGUUGUUCUAUUUCUAUGUUUUUUGUUAGAAAACAAAUUGAAAAUACAACCCUGGGAAGAAAUUAUGUAGUCAAGUAACUAUACUAUCAAAAUGAAUUAGACAUUUGAAGCAAUUAUCUAUAAAACUGUAGUAAAAAUUGCCCUGAAUCAAGUGAUUCAGCCAAAGGAAAGUCUGUUGAUUAUAUUGCACUCCCCCCCCCGCUUCUUUUUUUUCAAACAAUCAGCUUUCUAUUGCUACUUUUACUGUAGGCCUGACUCUCAAUACAGAAACUUCAAAAUGGGCGCCUAUUCAAUCAGAAUUUGAAAUUUCUAUUUUAUCCUGCCUCGUGAAUUAAUGAGCACAAGUUCUUUAUAGGAUUCCAGCUAAUAGAUGCAGAAGGAAUGACAAGAUAUCACUGGUUGGCAACCUCUAAUGGAAUCCCAGAUGUGGGCAAAUAUCAUUAAUGAUGGCUAAAUCCAUCAGGGGAAAAGCUGAUAGAGAACUUUUGUAAUGAAUGGAGUGGGCUGGCAGCAUCCAAACCCACUAUCAAUCUUAAUGUUACAAGAUGAGAGCCAUUAUGUGCCAUGAUGUGAUACAACAUGGAGCAUAUAUCACCUAUGAAUUAUUUUUGUGAAAAAGCAAAACAGAACAACAGAAGCCCUCUAGAUCUGUCAGUUUAUAGAACAUAUAGGGGACAGAAAAGGUGUACAUGAUCCCAUUAGGAUACAUUCAGUAAAAUCCACUGAAGGACAAUUCUAUAGGACAAACAACUUAGUUUCUUCAAAAAUUAAAAACAGGAAAGUUAAAUCUAUAGAUUAUAUUAACAAAAUGCAAGAUCUAGAUCUUGCCUGGAUCUUGACUCGAAUAAACCAACUGUUAAAAAAAACUUACGAGACAAUCAGGAAGUUUGAAUAUUGACUGGUACUUGGCAUCAAAAAAUGUUUUAGCAGUCUUACACAAUGGUAUUGUGGUUAUGUUCAAAAAAGUACCCUAUCUUUGGAGUUAUAUUUGAAUGUCUCUGAUCACACAGACAUGAAAAUACUAUGCCUGUUAAUGGGACUCAAACUGAUCCCUGUGGGUUGGGGCAGGGGAUAGGUGGGGAUGCAGGUAAACAAGACUGACCACAGGACAGCUGUUGGAGGAUGGGUACACAGAGCUUCAUUCUGCUAUUCUUUUUGUGCAUUUGUGAAAAUUUCCAUAAUAAAAUGUUUUUAAAAAUGAGUUUGGAUAGCAUUAUACUAUAAAAUAUUUUAAAAUUUCCUUCUUUAAUGAAGACUUGCAAGCAGAAAAAUAUAAUUUUCUAAGGGUCAAUUAACUAGUACAUUAACUCAAGUAACAGUUACUUAGCGCAGGGCAUGGUGGCUUAUGCCUAUAAUCCCAGUACUUUGGGAGGCCAAGGUGGGAGGAUGGCUUGAGCCAGGAGUUCAAUACCAACCUGGGCAACAUAGGGAGACCUCUGUCUCUUACAUAAAUAAAAAAAAUUAGCCAGGUAUGGUGGCAUGUGCCUGUGGUCCCAGCUAUUUGCAGGGCUGAGGUAAGAGGAUUGCUUGGGCCUGAGAGGUGGAGGCUGCAGUGAGCCAGGAUCAUGCCACUGCACUUCAACCUGGGCAAAAGAGCAAGAGCCUGUCUCAAAACAAACAAAAAAGUUUCUUAGAAACUGAUAAAUAAAUAUAAUUUUUAAAAGAUUGUACAAAUUACUGUUAUUGCAUGACUAAGAGACUACUAAAAGUUGGGAUUUUUUUUUUUGAGACAGAGUCACACUCUGUCACCUAGGCUGGAGUGUAGUGGCGUGAUCUUGGCUCACUGCAACCUCUGCCUCCUGGGUUCAAGUGAUUUUUUGUGCCCCAGUGCCCCAAGUAGUUGGGACAACAUGUGUGUACCAUGCCUGGCUAAUUUCUGUAUUUUUAGUAGAGACUUUUUUUUGUUUGUUUUGAGAGGGAGUCUUGCUCAGUCGCCAAGCUGGAGUGCAGUGGCGCCAUCUUGGCUCACUGCAAGCUCCGCCUCCCGGGUUCACGUCAUUCUCAUGCCUCAGCCUCCUGAGUAGCUGGGACUACAGGCGCGUGCCACCACACCCGGCUAAUUUUUUGUAUUUUUUUAAAUAGAGACGGGGUUUCACCAUGUUAGCCAGGAUGGUCUCGAUUUCCUGACCUCGUGAUUCACCCACCUUGGCCUCCCAAAGUGCUGGGAUUACAGGCGUGAGCCACCGCGCCUGGCCGAGACGGCGUUUUACCAUGUUGGCCAGGCUGGUCUCAAACUCCUGACCUCAAGUGUUCCACCAGCCUCGGUCUCCCGAAGUGUUGGGAUUACAGGCGUAAACCACAAUGCCAGGCCAAAAAUUGGGAUUUUAAACCAAAAGGAGAAACCUUUGAUAAACUGAACAUCAAUUCCAGGUAAAACUAGGCUCUGGAGUCAGCCAGAUCUAGGUUUGAAUCCUAGCUCUGUCAUUUUCUAUCUACCAGUUCAAUGUUUUUUGGCAUAGCACACAAUUUCUGUGACCCUUAGGCUCCACAUCUAUAAUGUGGCAGCAACAACUUUCUUGGUCAGUAGAGCACUCUGCAAAGGGCCUGGCACAUGGUAAGUGCUUGGUGUAGAAUUCAAAUAAUUCCACUACCAUUUCAGUCAUAAAUGCAUACUUUUCUAUAAUCUAACAUCUCUCAAAUUGGGAUGUCUCAUAAUAUGAAAAGGUACUUUUAUCAAACUUCGAGUCUAAGAACAUACAAAUGUUUCUUUUAUCAUGUCUACAGUAAUUGUCUAUGCUUUUCCAUUUAACUGUUGUUAAAAAUUCCACAUAUCCCCAUUAUUUCUUCUGUCCCAGUUACAGUACAAUGACGGGGAGGAAGAGGGUUGGUUAAAGCAUCCCUCUAAGCAGUUUUCUGCUGUCCCUUCUUUCCAAUCAGAGAUUUGUGGAUGUGAGGGAUCACACCUAGAAUGAAAUUUAAAAAAGUUAUUAAAAACUUUUAAAGUUUUUGCCUCAAGUAAAAAGUUAAUUAUAGAAAAAAUGAAAUUUACUUAAGUCCCUUUUCAUAUUCUGAUACUGUUAAACUAUCUAUACCAAUGGCUACACCCCAGGGGUCUGUGAACCCUUUAAAACUGUAUGUAAAAUUGUGUGACUUUCCGUGCAUUUUUUGAGAAGAGUAACCAUAGCUUUUUUUUUUUUUUUUUUUUGAGAUGGCCUCACUUUGUCGCCAAUGCUGGGGUGCAGUGGUGUAAUCUUGGCUCACUGCGACCUCUGUCCUGGGUUCAAGUGAUUCUCCUACCUCAGCCUCCUGAGUAGC